UCACUUUGUGUACACAACCUCUUCAUGUUACAUCUGUUUAAUAUUAAGUGACAUGCAUUUGCACCAAAAUGCUGUGGAUUGUUGUCAAAAUCAAAAGCUGUGAUGAUAAGAUUAUGUAUUGAUAAUGAUUAUAUGAUCAGUCGCAUUUUAUUAUUUGCAUUUAGCGUUUUCUUUUCCCUUCUGUCUAUGUUAUUUCACUCACUCUCAUGUGUCACUCUUUUAGGUCCUUUACUGAAGAAGACACUUGUGAAGAUGAAACUGAAGUCCAGUUCCAGUCUGUCUGAACCUGAAAUGAGAGCCCAGCUCCUGUCACAGCUUCAGUUUGCUCUGGCAAAACGAGGGAUUUCUGAUGUGACGCUGCAAUGGUCUCAGACGCCAGCUGCUCAACAGGAAGUGAUGUGGAAGGAAGAUGCAUCAGCUCAGUGUGCUGGAGGAAAUAGAUGAUGAUGAUGGGAAAACUCUCGAUCAACUUGUUUAUCUUCUUUUAUAUUUACAUUGCUUUGAUAUUCACUGUUCCUCACAAUGUAAAGGAUCUAUUUACUGCAAUUUAGUUUUAAGG